rnacentral:tRNA from 1 species
ACCUGGAUAGCUCAGCUGGUUAGAGCGUGAUGCUAAUAACGCCAAGGCUGCAGGUUUGAUCCUCAUAUGGGGCA